rnacentral:rRNA from 1 species
CAGUCGCCGCGGGAAUACGCAGGUGGCAAGCGUUGUCCGGAAUUAUUGGGCGUAAAGGGCUCGCAGGCGGUUUCUUAAGUCUGAUGUGAAAGCCCCCGGCUCAACCGGGGAGGGUCAUUGGAAACUGGGAAACUUGAGUGCAGAAGAGGAGAGUGGAAUUCCACGUGUAGCGGUGAAAUGCGUGGAGAUGUGGAGGAACACCAGUGGCGAAGGCGACUCUCUGGUCUGUAACUGACGCUGAGGAGCGAAAGCGUGGGGAGCGAACAGGAUUAGAUACCCGAGUAGUCCCUGUCUCUUAUAC